GUUUGCAACUUUGGCAGCACAUAUACAAAAAUCCGAAUGAUAAAGAGAAUAUUAGCAUGGCCCCUGUGUGAGGAUGACACAUAAUUAAUUUGUUAUUUUUU
ensembl:snRNA U6 U6 spliceosomal RNA